rnacentral:tRNA from 1 species
UCUUCAUUAGUGUAGUGGUGAGUAUUCCCACCUGUUAUGUGGGAGACUGGGGUUUGAUUCCCCAACAGGGAG